CCUACGGGUGGCAGCAGUGAGGAAUAUUGGUCAAUGGGCGCGAGCCUGAACCAGCCAAGUCGCGUGAGGGAAGACGGUCCUGUGGAUUGUAAACCUCUUUUGUCGGGGAGCAAAGGCCGCCACGCGUGGCGUUCCGAGAGUACCCGAAGAAAAAGCAUCGGCUAACUCCGUGCCAGCAGCCGCGGUAAUACGGAGGAUGCGAGCGUUAUCCGGAUUUAUUGGGUUUAAAGGGUGCGCAGGCGGAAGAUCAAGUCAGCGGUAAAAUUGCGAGGCUCAACCUCGGCGAGCCGUUGAAACUGGUUGGCUGGAGUUAGCGAGAAGUACGCGGAAUGCGCGGUGUAGCGGUGAAAUGCAUAGAUAUCACGCAGAACCCCGAUUGCGAAGGCAGCAUACCGGCGCUCAACUGACGCUCAGGCACGAAAGUGUGGGUAUCGAACAGGAUUAGAUACCCUUGUAGUC
rnacentral:rRNA from 1 species